UGCAACCACGUGCCAGAGGCCGCGGGAAGGCUGAGGGGGCUAGCGUUGGCCGGGUGGAUUGGGCGUAAAGAGCGUGUAGGCGGCCAGGUAGGUCCGGGGUGAAAACUCGAGGCGCAACCUCGAGACGUCGGCGGAAACCCUCUGGCUAGAGUCCGGAAGAGGAGAGUGGAAGUCCUGGGGUAGCGGUGAAAUGCGCAGAUAUCAGGAAGAACACCCGUGGCGAAGGCGGCUCUCUGGGACGGUACUGACGCUGAGACGCGAAAGCGUGGGGAGCAAACAGGAUUAGAUACCCGUGUAGUC
rnacentral:rRNA from 1 species